AGAAUGACUCUCGGCAAAGGAUAUCUAGGCUCUUGCAUCGAUGAAGAACGUAGCGAAAUGCGAUACUUGGUGUGAAUUGCAGAAUCCCGUGAACCAUCGAGUCUUUGAACGCAAGUUGCGCCCGAUGCCAUUAGGUUGAGGGCACGUCUGCCUGGGUGUCACAU
rnacentral:rRNA from 1 species